rnacentral:tRNA from 2 species
GGGACCAUAGCUCAGCUGGUUAGAGCACCUGCCUUUUAAGCAGGGUGUCGUGGGUUCGAGCCCCACUGGUCCCUCCA